rnacentral:lncRNA from 1 species
CUGUUAUUGCUAGGUAGUAACUGAACAAUAAGAAAUGGAAACCUGGGAGUGGAAAAAUAGGCUCCAGGUUUUUCCUGUUCCCUUUGUAGCUGGUGAGGACCUGAUGGGUCUGGGUAGACCUGCCUGGUUUUGGAUGCUCCUUCUGCUGUUUGGCAUGGGUGGCACUGGAGGAUGCUGACAGCACUUGGCACUUCCAGCGGCUUAUGCCACUUCUCCUCUCUUUUUAUGCAGAGUUUUAGAGAUGGAGAAAUUAAAAUGCUUUUAAGGUAAAUGUUUCUGCUGCCAUGUAAGUCAGGCAGCCACAUGGGUUUUGUUACCAUUAACAGAGCUAAACAAUACACGUAAAAGGUGUUAAAUGUUUGUCUCCUAUUUGCUACAUUAGAAAGCAACUGACUUUUGCCAGCUCCCCACGAGCCUGCUCUAAGUAUGCUUUGCAAUAUAGUAUUUUCUCAGAAUAAAUCAGAAUUUCUAUUCCAGUGCUAUAAAUAAAUUAUUAGCAAUCUUAAAAUUCCAGAAGCACAUUUUUAACAUCUAUAUUAAAAAGAUUUUUUGGAAAUCUGUAUCCAUAUAUGUGUUGAUACGAUCCAAAACCCAGCAGUAAAGGAGCAUCUAAAACAGCAUUAGAGGCCAGGAAUUAAAAAUGUAUUCCCUUCCUCUAGUUCCUACAUUAUGACUUUUGAAAAAGUAUUCUUAAGGGCUCUUCACAAGCUAUAAAGAUGUUAUGUUACCCCAUGAGAUUCCAUCCUGCAGCCCCGGGUGCCAUAUGGGGGAAUGGCCACUGUGAUUUCACAUCACUAAAGGACCUGCUCGAGCAUGUUUUCAUCCUCAGCCCUUCUCCUGGAUACUCCUGUGCUGUGAGUCAUUCAGGAUCCAGCCGAAGAGUUGCAUUUGAAAACUGACUUACAGUUUCUCACCAAACUGGGGCACUUCACAGCUCUGCCAGACUGCAGCAUCCUAAAGCUCAUUUACAGUCUCACCACACUGCUUUUGCACAGUCUUGCUGGUUUACAUUAGAAUCCUUUCAAGCCGCCAGGAAAGGAGUCCUGCUCUGCAGAGUUAAAUUCAACCUUCAUCUAUCUACCAGUGCAAGACCUGUAAAACCCAGAUGGACUCCCACAGAAAUUUUACUGGGCUUUUUGUGAUAGAUGAACAGAGAUCAAUAAUUCUCUUCAAAUAUAGGGCACCAUCUUUGUUAUUAUCAUCAGCUCUGGCAAGAGCUGCUCUCCUCCUCCACAGGCCUGUGCACAGGUUGCCUUCAGCAGGUGAAGAGAGAAGCUUACUCAGUGUAAAUCACUACAACAGGGAUGUUGUCACUGGACAGAGUCUUGAGUGACAUGGUCUAGAGUGAGGUGUCCCUGCCCAUGGAUGAUCUUAAGGUCCUUUCCAGCCCAAACCUUUCUGUGAUUCUAUGGCUGUGGUAGUAGCAGCAUCCUAAAGGUGCAUUUUUGGUUUUAAUUCAAAGAUAGCACUAUGUGAGAGUUUUAAAACGUUCAGUAACUGAUCAAUUCCAGGGAAUAUUCUCCACUACAAAAAAUACAGCUUAUGCAUAUAGUGCAGCUAAAACAGGUGAGGAACUGUUGUGGGAUUCUGUUUGUGAUUGGAAUUUAUCCCUCCCCCCCCACUCUGUUUCUGCCUUUAAAGCACAGAUAAAGGCAAAGAGCUGCAUUCUUUUUCUUGGGUUGUAAUUAACUGAGUGGAAACCAGGAAAUUAUUUCUGAGUCCUUCACAACUGUGAAUCAUCUGAUGAUUUCUCUUUCUAGCCUUUCUUUUCCUAAUCUGAAUUAUUCCUAGGAAGUUCUCCCACUUUUCCCACAGCAGAGGACAUGGUUAACAUUCUUCACUGAGAACCUUUCCCAUGUCGAACCUACUGAAGAAUGUUUUCCAGCAGCUGUGGUUUGUGGGAUGUGCUUUGGUAAAAUUACUCCCUUGACACUAUUCCUGCUUCAGAAGAGGCAGCGUGUGGAAUGGCAUGUGUAUCCUUCCUUGGAUAGCUAAUGAUUGUCUAGUUAAAAUUCUUAAAGCAUAAAGGAUUCCUGAGCAAACACAGUAACUCAAAGUACUAGCUCUAGAACACACACAGUACCUGUAGCAACAACUAAAACUCGAUAUGCUGGCAAAAGAUCACGAAUCAUUUCCUAGUAACACACAGUCUAGCUCUUUUCUCUCAUCGCCAAUACUAGCAUAAACAGCAGCAAAAA